rnacentral:rRNA from 1 species
AUUGAACGCUGGCGGCAGGCCUAACACAUGCAAGUCGAGCGGAUGAAGGGAGCUUGCUCCUGGAUUCAGCGGCGGACGGGUGAGUAAUGCCUAGGAAUCUGCCUGGUAGUGGGGGAUAACGUCCGGAAACGGGCGCUAAUACCGCAUACGUCCUGAGGGAGAAAGUGGGGGAUCUUCGGACCUCACGCUAUCAGAUGAGCCUAGGUCGGAUUAGCUAGUUGGUGGGGUAAAGGCCUACCAAGGCGACGAUCCGUAACUGGUCUGAGAGGAUGAUCAGUCACACUGGAACUGAGACCCGGUCCAGCCUCCUACGGGAGGCAGCAGUGGGGACUAUUGGACAAUGGGCGAAAGCCUGAUCCAGCCAUGCCGCGUGUGUGAAGAAGGUCUUCGGUUUGUAAAGCACUUUAAGUUGGGAGGAAGGGCAGUAAGUUAAUACCUUGCUGUUUUGACGUUACCAACAGAAUAAGCACCGGCUAACUUCGU